rnacentral:rRNA from 1 species
CCUGAUCCAGCCAUGCCGCGUGUGUGAAGAAGGCCUUUUGGUUGUAAAGCACUUUAAGCGGGGAGGAGGCUACUCUAGUUAAUACCUAGGGGAUAGUGGACGUUACUCGCAGAAUAAGCACCGGCUAACUCUGUGCCAGCAGCCGCGGUAAUACAGAGGGUGCGAGCGUUAAUCGGAUUUACUGGGCGUAAAGCGUACGUAGGCGGCUUUUUAAGUCGGAUGUGAAAUCCCUGAGCUUAACUUAGGAAUUGCAUUCGAUACUGGGAAGCUAGAGUAUGGGAGAGGAUGGUAGAAUUCCAGGUGUAGCGGUGAAAUGCGUAGAGAUCUGGAGGAAUACCGAUGGCGAAGGCAGCCAUCUGGCCUAAUACUGACGCUGAGGUACGAAAGCAUGGGGAGCAAACAGGAUUAGAUACCCUGGUAGUCCAUGCCGUAAACGAUGUCUACUAGCCGUUGGGGCCUUUGAGGCUUUAGUGGCGCAGCUAACGCGAUAAGUAGACCGCCUGGGGA